rnacentral:rRNA from 1 species
CCCUAGGGAGGAAAAGAAACCAACUGGGAUUACCUUAGUAACGGCGAGUGAAGCGGUAAAAGCUCAAAUUUGAAAUCUGGUACUUUCAGUGCCCGAGUUGUAAUUUGUAGAAUUUGUCUUUGAUUAGGUCCUUGUCUAUGUUCCUUGGAACAGGACGUCAUAGAGGGUGAGAAUCCCGUUUGGCGAGGAUACCUUUUCUCUGUAAGACUUUUUCGAAGAGUCGAGUUGUUUGGGAAUGCAGCUCAAAGUGGGUGGUAAAUUCCAUCUAAAGCUAAAUAUUGGCGAGAGACCGAUAGCGAACAAGUACAGUGAUGGAAAGAUGAAAAGAACUUUGAAAAGAGAGUGAAAAAGUACGUGAAAUUGUUGAAAGGGAAGGGCAUUUGAUCAGACAUGGUGUUUUUUGCAUGCACUCGCCUCUCGUGGGCUUGGGCCUCUCAAAAAUUUCACUGGGCCAACAUCAAUUCUGGCAGCAGGAUAAAUCAUUAAGAAUGUAGCUACUUCGGUAGUGUUAUAGCUUUUUGGAAUACUGUUAGCCGGGAUUGAGGACUGCGCUUCGGCAAGGAUGUUGGCAUAAUGGUUAAAUGCCGCCCGUCUU